UUCAAACCACGCUGAGCUCCCCGUGUCCCCGCAGACCAGUGGCUGGGAUUCACCAGAAGAGCAGCAACACGGGUUUAAUUGGGGAUAAAUAUUCCCAGAACAAAUCACGGGGAUGUAACACCAUGAAGGAAAAGGAGGAGAAGAUUUUGGCCAAAAUCCAGGAAGUUUGAAUGAAGACAAUUCUCAGAAAUUAAUGGUGAGUGACAUUAAAAGAUAGCAGAUAAUAGAAGAUAACAGGUAAUAAAAGAUAAAUAAUAAAAGAUAACAGCAGGAGAUGCAAAGGAAAUGAAACUUGGUGCUCUAAACCAGCUCCAAAUGGACACUAAAAUAAAUGAAUAAAUAAACUCCAAUAAAUUGGGGUUGAAUAUUAAAAUAAGAAUUAAGAAUACUGAGUUUCAGUAGGAAACUUGAAAUCCUUCCCUCCAAAAUUGUGUUAAAAUCCCCUUUCCUUGAAAAGAGCUGAAACAACAGGACAGGACCUGGAUUCAAGGAAUUAGUGCAGGAUAAAA